rnacentral:rRNA from 1 species
AUGGGUCCCAACCUCAAGUACCGGGCUGGGCUCGUCCUCAUCGUCGCCGUCGUGCUCAUAUGGGUCACCUCCGCCGAGGUCACGCAGGGGAUUUUCGCUAACUACAAGCAACCAUUCGCAAUUACUUACUUGGGGGCCUCCCUUAUGGUGAUCUACAUCCCGUUGGCAUUUCUGAAGGAUUUUAUAUACAGAUUGCUGAGAAGGAAUUCUGGAAGCAGCAAGGCCUCAAAAAUCGCGAGCAAAUCUUCAUUUGGCGGUAGCGCUCCUCUGAAGAAUGGUGAAUUUCAGAAGAUGCUGGAAAUGGAACCACAGAAAACCGUGGUGAUAAAAAUUACUGAUGUGGACAUUCCUGUACUAGAAGAGACGAAACCACUCAUCUGUGGAAUUGGUGAAUGUGAGGGUGGGGUUUUGAAGGAGCAACAGCUUUCCACCAAGGAGAUUGCAAUUUAUGGGUUGUAUCUUUGUCCCAUAUGGUUUGUCACAGAGUAUUUGUCAAAUGCGGCACUUGCAAGAACCAGUGUGGCAAGCACUACUGUACUAUCUUCAACUUCGGGACUCUUCACCCUUUUCAUUGGUGUGCUACUGGGCCAAGAUUCCAUAAAUGCUGCCAAAGUUAUUGCUGUUUUUGUUAGCAUGGCUGGUGUGGCAAUGACAACUAUGGGCCAGACUUGGGCAACAGAUGAAUCAGAAGUAAGCAAUUCAGGGGCCACACAGAGGACUCUUCUAGGAGACAUGUUUGGUCUUAUGUCAGCUAUGUCAUAUGGUCUAUUCACAGUGCUUCUCAAAAAGUUUGCUGGAGAAGGAUCAGAAAAGGUUGAUGUCCAAAAACUGUUUGGUUUUCUCGGACUUUUCAGUCUUUGUCUUCUCUGGUGGCUUGUGUGGCCAUUAACUGCACUUGGCAUUGAGCCAAAGUUUACAAUGCCCCACUCAGCUAAAGUGGAUGAAGUGGUGCUGGCAAACGGCCUUAUUGGGAGUGUGCUAUCAGACUACUUUUGGGCUCUUUCCGUGGUUUGGACUAAUCCCUUGGUGGCCACGUUAGGCAUGUCGCUCACAAUUCCACUAGCGAUGGUUGCUGACAUGGUCAUCCACGGCCGACAUUAUUCAGCAGUCUACAUUUUUGGCUCUGUCCAGGUAUUUUCUGGGUUCGUCAUCGCCAAUCUUGCCGACCGCGUUUCACGUUUCUUAGGUCUAUAG